ACUCCGAUUGCGAAGGCAGCUUGCUGGACUGUAACUGACGCUGAGNCACGAAAGCGUGGGGAUCAAACAGGAUUAGAUACCCUGGUAGUCCACGCCGUAAACGAUGAAUGCUAGCUGUUAGCGAUAUACUGUUAGCGGCACAGAGAAGUCGUUAAGCAUUCCACCUGGGGAGUACGCCGGCAACGGUGAAACUCAAAGGAAUUGACGGGGGCCCGCACAAGCGGAGGAACAUGUGGUUUAAUUCGAUGAUACGCGAGGAACCUUACCUGGGCUUAAAUUGCAGUGGAAUAACGUGGAAACAUGUUAGCCUUCGGGCCGCUGUGAAGGUGCUGCAUGGUUGUCGUCAGCUCGUGCCGUGAGGUGUCGGCUUAAGUGCCAUAACGAGCGCAACCCUCAUCGAUAGUUACUAACAGGUUAAGCUGAGGACUCUAUCGAGACUGCCGACGUAAGUCGUGAGGAAGGUGGGGAUGACGUCAAAUCAGCACGGCCCUUACGUCCAGGGCUACACACGUGUUACAAUGGGGGGUACAAAGGGCAGCUACCUGGCGACAGGAUGCUAAUCUCAAAAACCUCUCUCAGUUCGGAUUGGAGUCUGCAACCCGACUCCAUGAAGCUGGAUUCGCUAGUAAUCGCGCAUCAGCCACGGCGCGGUGAAUACGUUCCCGGGCCUUGUACACACCGCCCGUCAAGCCAUGGGAGCCGGGGGGACCUGAAGUAUGCAACCGUAAGGAGCGUCCUAGGGUAAAACUGGUGACUGGGGCU
rnacentral:rRNA from 1 species